UGCCCGAGUGGCGGAAUGGCAGACGCUGGGGAUUUAAAAUCCCCUACCUGUAAUGGGUGUGCGGGUUCGACUCCCGCCUUGGGUAG
rnacentral:tRNA from 1 species